GUAGCCAACACUGGUGAGGACAAACUCAAUCUGGUUGCCCCAGUUUCCCCUUCUGGAGUUUUCAUCUUUCUUUACUGGCUCUCCUGGAACUGCUCCAUUCUAAAACAGAUGCUCUUCAUGCUGACCUCUAAGGCAAGCUCACGAUCUGAUCUAAGCACGCGCUCUGUCCACACAGUGAGCACGCUGUGGGAGAUGAACAUUCAGCGCCUAUGCUUGCGAUCUUCCCUGCAGCUCUGGGAUGAAUCCAGGCUGCACUUGAUGAUUCCAGUGAGCAAUUUUGCCCUACAAAUGCUUGACAACUAACUUUGUUCAAAUGUUUUAAUAGUAAACUCCUAGAUUUCCACUAUUUUCUGGUAGUGUAAUAGUCAAUUAAUUCUGAGAAAUGUAACAAUUUCCUUCGAGUGUAAUUGCCACUCAAUUAAUCCAAAUUAAAAACUGCAUAUGUAGUAAUUAAAAAACAUUAGAAACUUUUUGGAUGAAGUACCACUGCUGUGAUAUGCGGAGAGCCUAAAUAUAAAAAGAUUAUGAGCUGGCUGUAUAACUGUGUUGUAAUAUUUUUAAUGGCAGCAAGAGUGUCAGCUGUAAUGAUACUCCUGCGCUUUUUUAUUUAAGGUAUUUAAGGUUUGCUUCAGGUUACACAAGGCACUAAACACACACACACUUAUUUAGACUCAAUGCAUCUGAGUCUGAGCUCCCUGGGCCAUUGCCUCCCGCAGGAUCACACAGACACAUGUGCAUCAGCAAAAUGAACAGUAAUCCAAAGUUUGCCCUCCAGCUCAAAUUAAAUAUUCUUUUUGUUAAGCAUUAAACAGUGCCACAUUUCUUGAACAAGAACACAAAAUCCCUAGUGAGAAUGGACUACUACCACUUAUUCUUGAACCUGCAAACUGUCUAACUGUACAAGUCCACUGAAGCAGAGAAGGCAUUUUAAAUGAAUUCUCUAAAGGAGCUGAGUAACAGACUUGCGCAGGGGUUUGUGGGACUGACAGCAAAGCAGAACGAGAGGUGUUUCAGCCGUUGUCGUUUGCUCCAAGGAUCUGUCUUACUGAGCGCAGAGUGUGAGAGAGAAGAUCGUCCAGCUGGGCCCAUCUGCCCUUUUACUAAGAAGAACCUGCCCAUGAAGCCUAUGACUGACAGCAGCACAUCUUCCUCUGAGCAACUCAUUGCAGAUUGUUACAGUAUGUGCUGUGGUUGUGGACGUCAAAUUUGCAUCACUGAAUAAACACACAAGGACACUUACUAUCGGACCUUUCACACAUCAGGGCACCUGAUUUCUAUGAUUAAUUAACCUUGGCCCUACAGAACCUAACAGAAUCUAUUUAAAGUUAUUUAAGACCUGAGAAGGGUGAAGCCAUAUGAAAUCAUUGUGCUCCCAAAAAAGACUCUACAAAACUUCUAAUCCAACAGUGGAAUAUAUAAAUACUGUGAAGAAUCAAUGACUUCCUGCUCACUGAAGUUAAAGAGUCAAAGGUGUGGCCUACAGAAUGACAUUUGUAAAAAUAACGCAGAUUCCUAAACCCGCUCAGGGCAGUGAAAAUUCACAAGGCAGCACAAGUCCAAACAUCAAAAAGAUUAGAGACCUACUGCUGAUUAAUGCUGCAAAGCAUUUCCCACCAGGCUGGACAGUUUACAGGAAAGCACGAAAAAAAAGUAAGAAGCAAUUUGAGAAAAAAGGAAGAAAGAAAAAAAAGAAAAGCAUGGAAGCCAAAGGAAAUGUGCUCUAAGCACUUCUGAAAUAGUUAAACACUCAGGUCCACUGGGUUCACUGUUCGUCAGAGCUGACCUUUCCCCUUUCUAGUGCCCCCUAUACUGACCCCCAGCUCACAUUUCAAAGGCAACAUCCUCAAUCUUUCUCUGCUGAGGGCUUCAUUCUCCUCACGAAAAGAAGGCAUAUACAACAGGGCCGUUCAAAGACUCCAGUAAGUCUUCCACCUCGGGUUUAUUUAUCAAGGUCAGAGGUAAGACCACAAGAAUUGUGACUGCUACCAAAAAGCCUCUUACAGAGCAUCUUUUCAUUCUAUAUUCUACUACAUUCUAUACUAUUCUAUAAGUCCACUACAAAGCAUUUGUAUGAUAGCUUUCGGAAAAGCAUUCCAUUGCACUGAAUUACGAUAUAAGCAAAUGCAAAGCUUCUGGGGUGGGACAACCUGUUUGUGUCCCAAAGGCUGAUGGGGAUGGGCAGAAGGAGUGGUAGAAAGCAAAAACUUUUACUUAACUCCUUUAGUUAUGGUCUCCUAAAAAGCACUCAAUGAGUAAACAAGGGCGGGUUCAUUCUCUUUUACUGGAAUUGAAAUUAACCAGCGUGGACAGUCCUUAAAGAAGCCAUUAUCCAGUCUCUGUGAGGUGAAAGUAAUUCUGCUAAAGAUGCAAAGCUUCCGCUUCUAACCCUGUGAGCAGUAGGUCAUAUUCCUGCUCUCUCAUUGGCUGAGACCUUGAAAACACUCUUCUCAUGCUUGAUCAAUCAUCAGCAAUGGUGACUUGUCAGGCAAAGCACCCCAAAAUCUGAACAAGGGGCACAAAAGUGGGGAAGUGACGGUGGCCUAAGUGUCAGGUCAUUAGGAGUUCACGUCACUCAAUCCACACACAGACUGUCACAUGCACGCCCAUAUAUGAGGAUGUGUUUAUAAAGGCUGGCAUAUAGUCUGGCAUAAAGCAAGUGUUCUCAUUUGUAAGAAAGUAAGUAAUUAUUACUAUGGGCAGGUGAUCUAGUUCUUAGGUAUUACAAAAACAUCAUGAGUAACAUAAAAUAAGUAAAGUUAAAGCAAAUGGCUAAGCUAUGCUGAAAACUAUCAACGUUUUUUUUUUUUUACUAAGCAUUUUAAAAGAUAUUAUUACUUUUACCUAGAAAGGACACAUUCAAUUAAUCAAAAGUGACAGCAACAACAAUAACGAUGAUGCAUUUGUUUUCAACAUUGCUAAAUGUUUCUGGAAUACCAAAUUAGCUUAGAAUUAUUUCUAAAGAUCAUGUGACAAGGAAGAUGCUGCUAAAAUGCAGCUUUGCCAUCACCGGAAUAAAUUCUAUUUAAAACCAUAUUAAUAUUUUAAAUUGUAAUAACAUUUAACAUUAUUAUUGUUUUUACUAAUCAAAUAAAUGAAGCCUUGUGACUUCCUUAAAUACAUUAUAUCUAAAAAAGAAUUACAUAAACGUAGAAACAUAAGAAGUGCAAGAAACAGCGGUUACAAGCUUCAGAAGACAAUUACCACACAAGUGAAUUAGCAGUUUUGUGCUACAUGGGCUUCCAUGUAAAGAAACUAAAUGUCUAUCUUCAACCCAUAAACCUGCUGCCAACUGUUAAACACCAGGCAGGAUCCACAACAGCUCUGGUAGCCAUCUUGUGAGAGUCAUUAGGUCUGAGGGUUGCUCUUCAUGGUCAUAUAUCAAAGAAAUUGAAUAUUAAGUUUAGAACCUAGAUCAAAACAUAAUUAACUAUCAUUGAAUGUUCAUGAGAACGUAUAGCUGUCACUCCUCAUGUCAUGUUUCUACACAGUUCAAGACAUGUAUAACAGCAUUCCAUGAAUGACCAAAGUCAAUCAAAUAAAGAAAAACUGUGGGACUUUCUUACACAAUAGUGAACAAACAAAACUAACUCAUCAAAGGCUUAAAGACUUAUCCCUCUAGUUCCCUUAUUGAAAAAAAAAAAAAAAAAAAAAAAAAAAAAAAAAAAAAAAAAAAACAUUCUGAGAGAUUUUCUUGAGAACUUCCAUCACAAAGAGUUCUUACUCCUAUGUUGAUAACGAGGUCUCAACAUUACGCAUACACUUCUUGCCUCACUGUUAUUUUUUUUACUUCCUUUG